rnacentral:tRNA from 1 species
ACCUGGCUGGCUCAGUCGGUAGAGCAUGCAACUCUCCAUCUCAGGGUCGUGAGUUCAAGCCCCACGUUGGGUG